rnacentral:sRNA from 2 species
CGGGCGGCCGCGCCGAAUCCUGUCGCCGCCACGGAAACCGAUCACUCAUGUAUGGCAGGAGCGGGGAACCCAGGUAAGUCGCCGAUCCGGAAACCGGACCGGCUAGGGGUGAAGUCGCAUUCACACUGCGGCCGGGCAUCUCCAGCCCGAACCCGACAGCUCACCUCGCAGGCGGCGGAGAGGAAUU